GGUUGAGGAGCAUGUCAGAGAGGUGAGCAGCAGGGAGUUUGAAAACUUGACAUUGGAUCAAUCACCUCCACCUGACUCAACUCACAGGGUUAAUAAGCAUGACAGCGAGGUGAGCAACAGGGAGUUGGAAGCACGGGCAAUACAUCAAUCACCUCCGAAACUUGACUCAACUCCUAGCAUCGAGGAGUAUGCCCUUGAGGUGAGAGCACUGAAACUUUCUCAGUCACCUCCUGCACUUGACUCAACUCACAG